ensembl:misc_RNA
AGUAUUUAUAUAUCCGGAGAAAGUUCUCUACUAAAUUCUGGAGAUCCUCGGUAUUUAAAUGUCAACAUCGAUUUGUUUAUUUAUUGCUUGGCUUAUCGUAACCGACUCAAUAACAAAUCUAAUCAUGUUAUGCAGAGAGAAAAUAUUCUCAUUAUGUAUUUCCCCUACAUUAUAGUUAACUAUUGCGUUUGAAUUCAAGCUGUAAAUUCAAGAUUAUCAAGUAAUUACU